UACAGAGGUCUCAAGCGUUGUUCGGAUUCAUUGGGCGUAAAGGGUGUGUAGGUGGCGCCGUAAGUCGGGUGUGAAAUUUCGGAGCUUAACUCCGAAACUGCAUUCGAUACUACCGUGCUUGAGGACUGGAGAGGAGACUGGAAUUUACGGUGUAGCGGUGAAAUGCGUAGAUAUCGUAAGGAAGACCAGUGGCGAAGGCGGGUCUCUGGACAGUUCCUGACGCUGAGGCACGAAGGCCAGGGGAGCAAACGGG
rnacentral:rRNA from 1 species